GGGGUAGCCAUAAUAAGUAGGCCAGCUCUUUCACCCUAGGGAUACUAUCCCUCCUCAACCAGAGUAAAGGAAUACUGCAGUUAUCGGAAAAAGAAACUAGAAAGCAACCUAGAAAGCAACCCUAGAGAAGAAGGAAAAACACAGAGAAAUUUCUCUCUCUAAACCUAGAGAGAGAGAGAGAGACAUGACUUACUAACUAAAAAAAAAGC
rnacentral:misc_RNA from 1 species